AGUAAAGUGGCUGAAAUAUAGGCGAUAAAUUGUAAAUUUAUUUAUGAUUAAGAGAAUCCUUUACUA
rnacentral:tRNA from 1 species